rnacentral:rRNA from 1 species
UACAGAGGGGGCAAGCGUUGUUCGGAAUUAUUGGGCGUAAAGAGCUCGUAGGCGGUGUGUCGCGUCGGCCGUGAAAACCUGCAGCUUAACUGUGGGCUUGCGGUCGAUACGGGCAUCACUGGAGUUCGGCAGGGGAGACUGGAAUUCCUGGUGUAGCGGUGAAAUGCGCAGAUAUCAGGAGGAACACCGGUGGCGAAGGCGGGUCUCUGGGCCGAUACUGACGCUGAGGAGCGAAAGCGUGGGGAGCGAACAGG